rnacentral:rRNA from 1 species
UACGUAGGGUCCGAGCGUUGUCCGGAAUUAUUGGGCGUAAAGGGCUCGUAGGCGGUUUGUCGCGUCGGGAGUGAAAACACCGGGCUUAACUCGGUGCUUGCUUUCGAUACGGGCAGACUAGAGGUAUGCAGGGGAGAGCGGAAUUCCUGGUGUAGCGGUGAAAUGCGCAGAUAUCAGGAGGAACACCGAUGGCGAAGGCGGUUCUCUGGGCAUUACCUGACGCUGAGGAGCGAAAGUGUGGGGAGCGAACAGG